AGUGAACGCUGGCGGUAGGCCUAACACAUGCAAGUCGAACGGCAGCACAGUAAGAGCUUGCUCUUACGGGUGGCGAGUGGCGGACGGGUGAGGAAUACAUCGGAAUCUACUUUUUCGUGGGGGAUAACGUAGGGAAACUUACGCUAAUACCGCAUACGACCUCCGGGUGAAAGCAGGGGAUCUUCGGACCUUGCGCGAUUGAAUGAGCCGAUGUCGGAUUAGCUAGUUGGCGGGGUAAAGGCCCACCAAGGCGACGAUCCGUAGCUGGUCUGAGAGGAUGAUCAGCCACACUGGAACUGAGACACGGUCCAGAGUCCUACGGGAGGCAGCAGUGGGGAAUAUUGGACAAUGGGCGCAAGCCUGAUCCAGCCAUACCGCGUGGGUGAAGAAGGCCUUCGGGUUGUAAAGCCCUUUUGUUGGGAAAGAAAAGCAGCAGGUUAAUACCCCGCUGUUCUGACGGUACCCAAAGAAUAAGCACCGGCUAACUUCGUG
rnacentral:rRNA from 1 species